rnacentral:rRNA from 1 species
UACGGAGGGUGCGAGCGUUGUCCGGAAUCAUUGGGCGUAAAGGGCGCGUAGGUGGCCCGGUCAGCGUACGGUGAAAGCUCGGGGCUCAACCCCGAGUCGGCCGUGCGAACUGCUGGGCUCGAGCACUGUAGAGGCAGGCGGAAUUCCGGGUGUAGCGGUGGAAUGCGUAGAGAUCCGGAAGAACACCGGUGGCGAAGGCGGCCUGCUGGGCAGUGGCUGACACUGAGGCGCGACAGCGUGGGGAGCAAACAGG